rnacentral:rRNA from 1 species
UACAGAGGGUGCAAGCGUUGUUCGGAAUUAUUGGGCGUAAAGCGCGUGUAGGCGGCUUGGCAAGUCGGGUGUGAAAGCCCUCAGCUCAACUGAGGAAGUGCGCCCGAAACUGCUUGGCUUGAGUGUCGGAGAGGAUGGCGGAAUUCCCCAAGUAGGAGGUGAAAUUCGUAGAUAUGGGGAGGAACACCGGUGGCGAAGGCGGCCAUCUG